rnacentral:misc_RNA from 1 species
GAAAAAUCAAACUUUAAUGCUCUAAAAACACCCAGCAAAGGCACUAACUACAGCAUCACAAACAGCACUUUUACUAUUUAUGCAAGCAGUCAAAUUGAAAGCAAAAGCUAAUUAAUUAACAUUGUUAUAAGACUUAAGAGAUCAGUGUAGGAAUCUUUAGGCUUUUAAUCUUAUUUCAACUUUGUUUUCAUUUGUUUCAAGAUGAACAUCUUUCUAUCUACCCUUUCAGGCUCUCUUUUGACAGGGAGAUAUGGAAGAAAAGAAACUUCAAAAAGAGCUAUUGGGAAAGAGAGAGAGUUCUCAAAAGAAGUUAAGACCACAAUACAAAAGUGAACCCCCAAAAAAAAAAAAUUACCAGAGGGAAGAGCAAUUCCUUGUAUAUCUACAAGCUUUCUAAUAUUUACCAUCUUUUCCUCUUUCACAAGCUUUUCUCAAGCAAGAAAGGAAUACAAUGAGCAAGGAAACCCCAGCAAUAAGCCCAAUUAAUAUUGCAAGUGUCUUCUCUAUCUCAUCAUCAUUAUUGUUGUCAUUACCACCGUGCGAGUGAGCUCCACGCUCCGAGAAGCGAACGUAGCACUUGGCCAAGUACAUUUGACCCCAAGCGGCGGGCCCACAUUCCGUUUUCAGCCGCCCGACGGCGUCCGAUAUGCAAUCCUGGCACUCGGUUGCACUCAAAUCCUGUACACACUGAGCCACACCGUUAACGUCGCCGGACCCACCAACCCUGUAAGGCUUGUAGGACUCAUCACUGGCUCCCAAGUAGUCCAACACCGCAUCGCGCCUGGUAAACGCGUCAGACUCAUACCCAUUAAUCGACGGCCCGCAUUUCCUUAACACCACGGUCUUGUCCUCCACCCCCAAAAAACUGAUGUUGUCGUACUUGACGAAACACCCAUCGAGCUGCAGCGCUCCACCGCACGAGUCAAGGCAGAGUGUGCCGAGUUGACUGACGGCGCUAGCAACACAGCGAGCACAAUCCCCAUUGGAGAGGUCUCCACGGCAUUGGAAGAGGCCGUAAAGGGUGUCCUGUGAGGAGGAAGGACUCUGGACGGUGAAGUUGUUGUAGUUUGUGAAGGUGGCAGAGUUAACCAAGGAGGUGAGUAGCGAAUUGACGUUGGAUUCAUAAGGAGAGCCUGAGAUGUACUUGAGCUGUGAACAUCCACCGAAAAUGAAAGACUCGAGAGAGGAAGUUGAUGGGGUUGAAAGGAGGGAGAUUGUAAGAAGAGAAACAAAAGCUGUGAUUGUUAGAGACAUGUUUGAUGAGUUCCUUCCAGGGAGAGAAAGAUUGAAGGGUUUUGCUUUGUGGGAGGCUAUGAGUAUAACCGGAGCAGUGAUCGCUGGCAUUUGGCACUCUUUUUGAGCGUCUGUGAGAGAGAGAGAGAGAGAG